UGGGGAAUAUUGGACAAUGGGCGAAAGCCUGAUCCAGCCAUGCCGCGUGUGUGAAGAAGGUCUUCGGAUUGUAAAGCUCUUUUGUCAGGGAAGAAACGGUAGUAGCGAAUAACUAUUACUAAUGACGGUACCUGAAGAAUAAGCACCGGCUAACUACGUGCCAGCAGCCGCGGUAAUACGUAGGGUGCAAGCGUUAAUCGGAAUUACUGGGCGUAAAGGGAGUCGUAGGCGGACAUUUAAGUCAGGGGUGAAAUCCCAGAGCUCAACUCUGGAACUGCCUUUGAUACUGGGUGUCUUGAGUGUGAUAGAGGUAUGUGGAACUCCGAGUGUAGAGGUGAAAUUCGUAGAUAUUCGGAAGAACACCUGAGGUGAAGACGGGUUGCUGGGCUGACACUGACGCUGAGGCGCGAAAGCCAGGGGAGCAAACGGGAUUAGAUACCCACGUAGUCCCUGAGCGGGCUGGCAAGGCGCAU
rnacentral:rRNA from 1 species